rnacentral:lncRNA from 1 species
UGAUAGAGGCAAAGGUGUCCCGUCUUUCGAUGAGAUGGUGGAUUUCGCUUUGGUGGAAGUCGACUUUGACGAUCCGACUACGAACGUGCGAGGACGUCGCGCCUUAGCAAUCGCUAAACCAACUCCGAGAGGUUAUUGACCACGCCGGAGCACGAUCAACCUGACCACGAGGGUCUGUUUCCUGCGAGCAAACGAAGAACAAGCAAGAAACUGAGAUUGCAAUCUGGAUAUUGCGAAUAUAAGAUGAAAGCUUUAUUGAUCAAGGUGGGGUUCUGUGACGCCUUUGUCUGGUCGUUGAACACAAACGAAGUACGCGAAGUUGCAGCUAUGGCGAACUUUUAAUCUAAACAAAACCCAAAGUCUAAACGAUGCCCUAAGGGCUGUAUAUAUGGAGGAAGAGUGGGGAAUUUCGUGGCCCUUGGUGGAGGGGUCCGAAAUCAACCCUAUCUCUUGUUUCCCCACACAUACGGACUCUAAAAAUAGCCUAUACUUAUGUAGUUCGAAAUUACAUGGGCCUGGCCCAAUAAUAAGGUGACGCAGCACCUAAAAUAGCCUCGGGACGAAAUUUAUGAAGUGGCAUCUUGUAUAUUUCGUCCAAGGCUUCAUGCACCCAUUAUGGUGGCUUCAAAGUCCUGAAAUCAUCACUUGUAACUCCGUUCUUGUUCCCCUUGCGCAUGCCAUCAUCUCCAUGCUUGUUCUUGCUCCAAUGUUCAUCCUUCUCCAAGCUAGGCCCUUCAUUUGUAAGCAAAACAAAUGUAUCCAAUUUAGGCAGCAUCAUAUUCUCAUGAACAUUAGAAUCAUUACCAAGAAACGAAAGUACCUGGUAAUUUAGUUGGCGUGCACGAGCUCUAGUAAUUGGUCCAGUAUGUAUAGCAGCAGGGGCUGUGGGUGUAACAAUUGUAUUGGUGUCCUCAUCAGGUGGCGGCGUGACAACUUAUGACCAGAACUCGAAACUCUAAAAGACUAACGCUAAGACCAGCAACUAGACACGACGAUGCAACCGCAAAUUCAACAAAGCAAAACCCUAAAAAGAUUAUGCAAAGGCUCAGAUUGGUUCGGAUAUGAUGAACUAACCCUAAUUUUUUUUGGCUUUUUCGUGGACUGUAGGUAUGAAGAACAGACUCGAUCUAAACUACGAAAAACUGUAAAAUCUCACCGAGCAACCUGGAAAUCUGAUACCACUUGAUAGAGGCAAAGGUGUCCCGUCUUUCGAUGAGAUGAUGGAUAUCGCUUUGGUGGAAGUCAACUUUGACGAUCCGACUACGAACGUGCGAGGACGUCGCGCCUUAGCAAUCGCUAAACCAACUCCGAGAGGUUAUUGACCACGCCGGAGCACGAUCAACCUGACCACGAGGGUCUGUUUCCUGCGAGCAAACGAAGAACAAGCAAGAAACUAAGAUUGCAAUCUGGAUAUUGCGAAUAUAAGAUGAAAGCUUUAUUGAUCAAGGUGGGGUUCUGUGACGCCUUUGUGUGGUCGUUGAACACAAACGAAGUACGCGAAGUUGCAGCUAUGGCGAACUUUUAAUCUAAACAAAACCCAAAGUCUAAACGAUGCCCUAAGGGCUGUAUAUAUGGAGGAAGAGGGGGGAAUUUCGUGGCCCUUGGUGGAGGGGUCCGAAAUCAACCCUAUCUCUUGUUUCCCCACACAUACGGACUCUAAAAAUAGCCUAUACUUAUGUAUUUCGAAAUUACAUGGGCCUGGCCCAAUAAUAAGGUGACGCAGCACCUAAAAUAGCCUCGGGACGAAAUUUAUGAAGUGGCAUCUUGUAUAUUUCGUCCAAGGCUUCAUGCACCUAUUAUGGUGGCUUCAAAGUCCUGAAAUCAUCACUUGUAACUCCGUUCUUGUUCCCCUUGCGCAUGCCAUCAUCUCCAUGCUUGUUCUUGCUCCAAUAUUCAUCCUUCUCCAAGCUAGACCCUUCAUUUGUAAGCAAAACAAAUGUAUCCAAUUUAGGCAGCAUCAUAUUCUCAUGAACAUUAGAAUCAUUACCAAGAAACGAAAGUACCUGGUAAUUUAGUUGGCGUGCACGAGCUCUAGUAAUUGGUCCAGUAUGUAUAGCAGCAGGGGCUGUGGGUGUAACAAUUGUAUUGAUGUCCUCAUCAUCCUCCCCUUCUUGAAAUGAAGUCGUCCUCGACGGAAGUUCAUCUUCCUCACCCAAAUAAGGCUUCAAAUCUGCAAUGUUAAAAGUGGGACUAACCCCAAAAUCUGCAGGCAGCUCAAGUUUAUAUGCAUUAUCAUUUAUUUUCUCUAACACCUUAAAGGGACCAUCAGCACGUGGCAUUAGCUUUGAUUUGCGCAAAUCAGGAAAUCUAUCCUUACGCAAAUGUAACCAAACAAGAUCUCCAGGUGCAAACACAACAUGUUUUCUACCCUUAUCUCCAGCAAGUUUAUAUUUAGCAUUCAUACGCUCAAUAUUUUCCUUAGUUAACUCAUGCAUUUUUAAAAUCAAUUCAGCACGUUGUUUAGCAUCAAAAUUAACCUUCUCCGAAGAUGGAAGAGGCAACAAAUCAAUAGGUGCACGAGGUAGGAAACCAUACACAACUUCAAAAGGGCACAUCUUAGUAGUAGAAUGCAAUGAACGAUUAUAAGCAAAUUCAAUAUGAGGCAAGCAUUCCUCCCACAUUUUCUUAUUAUUCUUCAAAACAGCCCUAAGCAUAGUAGACAACAUUCUAUUGACUACUUCAGUUUGUCCAUCAGUUUGGGGGUGACAAGUAGUACUAAAAAGCAGUUUAGUCCCCAACUUAGCCCAUAAACAUCUCCAAAAGUGGCUAAGAAAUUUAGUAUCACGAUCUGAAACAAUAGUAUUGGGCACACCAUGCAAGCGAAUAAUUUCACGAAAGAACAAAUCAGCAACAUUAACAGCAUCAUCGCUUUUAUGACAUGGUAUAAAGUGUGCCAUUUUCGAGAAUCUAUCCACGACAACAAAUAUGCUAUCCCUCCCCUUCUUUGUUCGAGGUAAACCUAAAACAAAGUCCAUAGAUAUAUCCUCCCAAGGAACACUAGGUACAGGCAAAGGCAUAUAUAAACCAUGAGGAUUGAGUCAUGAGUUAGCUUUUUGACAUGUAGUGCAUCGAGCAAUAAAACGCUCAACAUCCCGUCUCAUCUUUGGCCAAAAGAAAUGUGUAGCAAGUACGUCCUCCGUCUUCUUCACGCCAAAGUGUCCCAUUAAUCCUCCUCCAUGCGCCUCCUGCAACAACAAAAGACGAACGGAGCUAGCUGGAAUGCAUAGCUUGUUAGCACGAAACACAAAUCCAUGGUUAAUGACGAACUUGUUCCACAUUCUUCCUUCUUUACAAUUCUGCAUUACAUCUUUAAAAUCAGCAUCAUGCACAUAUUGAUCUGAUGAGGACAUCAAUACAAUUGUUACACCCACAGCCCCUGCUGCUAUACAUACUGGACCAAUUACUAGAGCUCGUGCACGCCAACUAAAUUACCACGUACUUUCGUUUCUUGGUAAUGAUUCUAAUGUUCAUGAGAAUAUGAUGCUGCCUAAAUUGGAUACAUUUGUUUUGCUUACAAAUGAAGGGCCUAGCUUGGAGAAGGAUGAACAUUGGAGCAAGAACAAGCAUGGAGAUGAUGGCAUGCGCAAGGGAAACAAGAACGGAGUUACAAGUGAUGAUUUCAGGACUUUGAAGCCACCAUAAUGGGUGCAUGAAGCCUUGGACGAAAUAUACAAGAUGCCACUUCAUAAAUUUCGUCCCGAGGCUAUUUUAGGUGCUGCGUCACCUUAUUAUUGGGCCAGGCCCAUGUAAUUUCGAAAUACAUAAGUAUAGGCUAUUUUUAGAGUCCGUAUGUGUGGGGAAACAAGAGAUAGGGUUGAUUUCGGACCCCUCCACCAAGGGCCACGAAAUUCCCCCCUCUUCCUCCAUAUAUACAGCCCUUAGGGCAUCGUUUAGACUUUGGGUUUUGUUUAGAUUAAAAGUUCGCCAUAGCUGCAACUUCGCGUACUUCGUUUGUGUUCAACGACCAGACAAAGGCGUCACAGAACCCCACCUUGAUCAAUAAAGUUUUCAUCUUAUAUUCGCAAUAUCCAUAUUGCAAUCUUAGUUUCUUGCUUGUUCUUCGUUUGCUCGCAGGAAACAGACCCUCGUGGUCAGGUUGAUCGUGCUCCGGCGUGGUCAAUAACCUCUUGGAGUUGGUUUAGCGAUUGCUAAGGCGCGACGUCCUCGCACGUUCGUAGUCGGAUCGUCAAAGUCGACUUCCACCAAAGCGAAAUCCACCAUCUCAUCGAAAGACGGGACACCUUUGCCUCUAUCAUCCAAGGUAGUCAUGUACUCAUCACAAGAUAUAAGUGAAGAUCACAAUAGCAGUAGACCUAUUUAGAAGCUGAUGUUGAGGUGCCAAAUACUGAACUAUCUUCUGCAACUAUUUAGAUGCGGCUCGUCGCUAGCUUUCAUUUGAGUACUCGCGGAGCCAAAACAGACUUCAUAUGAAGAAGUUAUGCCUGUUUUACUGAACAGUGCACAAAACAGAUUCCAAUCUGAAUUCAACUACGAGAUUGAGUCUAGAUAGAUCCAAAUUUUGUUUUUUUUCUCCUCUCUUUUUUUUCUCACACUUUUUUUUUCUUUUCCCUUCUUUUUUUUUCUCUGACUUUUUUUUACUUUUUUUUUCUCAUUUUUUUUCUCUAUCUUUUUUUCUCUCUCCCUCUUUCCAAAACAAACUAGAUAAGAUGUAGAUUGGAUCAAGCGAAGAUGGGAACGAUCUCAACUAUGAUUAUGACAAUGAACUGUGGGUAGCACGUGGAGGAAAUUGAUGGAUGGGUGGUGGACAGCGGAAGGGAUAAUGAUGCAGCGGCGACGUGACUAAUGUGAACAGAACUCGAAACUCUAAACGACCUAGACACUAAGACCAGCAACUCGACACGACGAUGCAACCGAUAAUUCAACUAUGCAAGCAAUGAAAAGAAAAUUGCAAAGGCUCAGACUGGCUUGGACAAAGGAUGAAUAGAUCUAACUCUUUUUUGUGGAUUUUUUUUGGACAAUAGGUAAGAAAAUAAAUCUAAUCUAGGAAAACUAGAAAUUCUCACCGAGCAACCUGAAAACUGAUACCACUUGAUAGAGGCGAGGGUGUCCCGAUCUUUCGAUGAGAUGAUAACUAUCGAUUUGGUGGAGACGACUUUGACGAUCCGACUACAAACGUGCACGACGUUGCGCCUUAGCAAUCGCUAAACCAACUCCGAGAGGUUAUUGACCACGCUGGAGCACGAUCAACCUGACCACGAAGGUCUAUUCCUGCAAGUAAUCGAAGAACGAGCAAGAAUAUGAUAAAGCAAUCUGAAUAUUGCGAAUAUAUAUGAAGUAUUGAUAAUGGUGGGGAUCCGUAAGCGGUCUUGGUCUGGUCGUUGGACACAAACGAAGUACACGAAGUUGCACUGGCUAACUUUUAACUAAACAAAUCCCAAGGAAAAAGCUACUAGAUAGAUCUACUUAUAUAGGAGCAAGGGGUGGCGGGCAAGGAGGUGGGAGGACAUCCCAAGGCAGCCUAAAACUAACCCUAGGUCGUACAAGGCUCAUGGGCCCAAGUGGAGGUGAUGCAACACCUUUGGGCUUGUAGUUUGACUCGGAUUCUGCUGCAACGCCAGAUUGUUUCGUCCGUAACUCAACGCUCCGGACGAAUUUGAAGGUGAAUCCAAUUGGGCUGGAAAGAGCACGAAAUCUAGUUUCCAACAAAAAUCACCCAAUUCGGAGUCCGUAUGAAAAAGUUGUUGGCGUUUUGAGUCAGGUAUGUCUGUGCAGUCCGAAUCUGAAUCCAGAACGUGAGAGACUUGGACUCUAUCUUCUCUUGGCCCAAAAGUGACGUGAGAGAACUUUUUGAACAGCACUUAAACAUCUCUUUCUCCCUUAUCUUCAUAUGUGAAUUGUACAAAUAUCCCAUACACCUGCAAUUAGACAAAACACAAAAGUGUGUGAAGUAUUUUUGUUCUGGAUAACAUAAAUAGAUUUUUGAAUAGUUUGCACUAGAAAUCACCUGACAAAUAUGCAUGUAUGCAAUAUUUUUAGUCGUAUCCAAGGUAGUCAUGUCCUCAUCAGAAGAAGAAGAACGCUGUGCAGACCCCGCAGGUGCGCUCUUGGCAGAUAAUGGUGGUUGUGCCUGUUUUCUUGUAUCACGGCUGGAGGUGGCACCGGAUGGAGGUGCUGGCGCAGUUGAAGUAGAAGAUGCACGCGGUGUCCAUGAUGAAGGUCGGCCUGCAGAAAAGUUAGUUCGCCCCAAUGCUUGUCGAUCCUGCACUUCACGUUCAGCUUUACAAGCAAGAUGGAAUAAACGAGUGAUAUUAGUAUACUCCUUAUAGUCUAGAAUGGUCUGAAUCUCUCUAUUUAAUCCACCCAGAAAACGUGCAAGCAUAGCUUCAUUCUCCUCAACAAUACCACAUCUAAUCAUGCCAGUUUGUAAUUCCUGAUAAUAUUCUUCUACAGAAUUUUUUCCUUGUCUUAAACGCUGUAAUUUUUGAAGCAAUUCACGUUGAUAAUAUGGUGGAACCCAACGCGUACGCAUAGCAGUUUUCAAAGCAGACCAAGUAGUUGGAAUAGGAUAUAAUCUACAAUGUUCAGACCACCAUACACAUGCAAAACUAGUGAAAGCACAAACAGCAGCAGCAACUCGUCUCUCCUCAGGAUAUUGUAAACAUGUAAAUCGUUGUUCAGUUUCUAACUCCCAAGUAAGAUAUAUAUCAGGAACAUAUCUACCCUCAAAUGGUGGAAUAUUCAAUUUCAGUUUAGGAAUAUGGACAUCAUCUCGUACCUGAGGUGGUGGUGCAGGCCUACCAUUACGAAUAUAUACCUGAGGUCGACCUGCUGGUGGUGGUGCAGGUGGCUGCACGUAGUGCUGAUUUUGAUCAACCUCAUCCUCAUAAUCUCCCACAUAAUCAUCCUCCUCCGCAUCAGCAGCAGGAGCCACAGAAGUAUCAACAGCAGCACCAACAGUUUGGCCAAACGCAAGAGGAACACGAGUCGCUCGGCGAAGGUGAUAGAGGCGAGGGUGUCCCGAUCUUUCGAUGAGAUGAUAACUAUUGAUUUGGUGGAGACGACUUUGACGAUCCGACUACAAACGUGCACGACGUUGCGCCUUAGCAAUCGCUAAACCAACUCCGAGAGGUUAUUGACCACCCUGGAGCACGAUCAACCUGACCACGAAGGUCUAUUCCUGCAAGCAAUCGAAGAACAAGCAACAAUAUGAUAAAGCAAUCUGAAUAUUGCGAAUAUAUAUGAAGUAUUGAUAAUGGUGGGGAUCCGUAAGCGGUCUUGGUCUGGUCGUUGGACACAAACGAAGUACACGAAGUUGCAAUGGCUAACUUUUAACUAAACAAAUCCCAAGGAAAAGCUACUAGAUGGAUCUACUUAUAUAGGAGCAAGGGGUGGCGGCCAAGGAGGUGGGAGGACGUCCCAAGGCAGCCUAAAACUAAAUCUAGGUCAUACAAGGCCAAUGGGCCCAAGUGGAGGUGAUGUAACACCAUUGGACUUGUAGUUUAACUCGGAUUCUGCUGCAGCAUCAGAUUGUUUCGUCCACAACUCAACGCUCCGGACGAAUUUGAAGGUGAUUCCAAUUGGGUUGGAAAGUGCACGAAAUCUAGUUUCCAACAAAAAAAGAAUCACCCAAUUUGGAGUCCGUAUGAAAAACUUGUGUGCGUUUUGAGUCAGGUGUGUCUGUGCAGUCCGAAUCUGAAUCCAAAACGUGAGAGACUUGGACUCUAUCUUCUCUUGGGCCAAAAGUGACGUGAGAGAACUUUUUGGACAGCAAAUAAACAUCUCUUUCUUCCUUAUCUUCAUAUGUGGAUUGUACAAAUGUCCCAUACACCUGCAAUUAGACAAAACACAAAAGUGUGUGAAGUAUUUUUGUUCUGGAUAACAUAAAUAGAUUAUUGAAUAGUUUGCACUAGAAAUCACCUAACAAAUAUGCAUAUAUGCAAUAUUUUUUGUCAUAUCCAAGGUAGUCAUGUCCUCAUCAUACCACUUGAUAGAGGCGGGGUGUCCCGAUCUUUCGAUGAGAUGAUAACUAUCGAUUUGGUGGAGACGACUUUGACGAUCCGACUACAAACGUGCAACGACGUUGUGCCUUAGCAAUCGCUAAACCAACUCCGAGAGGUUAUUGACCACACCGGAGCACGAUCAACCUGACCACGAAGGUCUAUUCCUGCAAGCAAUCGAAGAACAAGCAAGAAUAUGAUAAAAGCAAUCUGAAUAUCGCGAAUAUGUAUGAAGUAUUGAUAAUGGUGGGGAUCCGAAAAGUGGUCUUGGUCUGGUCGUUGGACACAAACGAAGCACACGAAGUUGCAAUGGCUAACUUUUAACUAAACAAAUCCCAAGGAAAAGCUACUAGAUGGAUCUACUUAUAUAGGAGCAAGGGGUGGCGGCCAAGGAGGUGGGAGGACGUCCCAAGGCAGCCUAAAACUAAAUCUAGGUCGUACAAGGCCAAUGGGCCCAAGUGGAGGUGAUGUAACACCUUUGGACUUGUAGUUUGACUCGGAUUCUGCUGCAGCAUCAGAUUGUUUCGUCCACAACUCAACGCUCCGGACGAAUUUGAAGGUGAUUCCAAUUGGGUUGGAAAGUGCACGACAUCUAGUUUCCAAAAAAAAAGAAUCACCCAAUUCGGAGUCCGUAUGAAAAACUUGUGUGCGUUUUGAGUCAGGUGUGUCUGUGCAGUCCGAAUCUGAAUCCAGAACGUGAGAGACUUGGACUCUAUCUUCUCUUGGGCCAAAAGUGACGUGAGAGAACUUUUUGGACAGCAAAUAAACAUCUCUUUCUUCCUUAUCUUCAUAUGUGGAUUGUACAAAUGUCCCAUACACCUGCAAUUAGACAAAACACAAAAGUGUGUGAAGUAUUUUUGUUCUGGAUAACAUAAAUAGAUUAUUGAAUAGUUUGCACUAGAAAUCACCUGACAAAUAUGCAUAUAUGCAAUAUUUUUGGUCAUAUCCAAGGUAGUCAUGUCCUCAUCAUCCUCCCCUUCUUGAAAAUAAAGCCGUCCUCGGCGUUGCUUAAUCUGAAAUGUGGCUAACAAAAAAGACAAGGUGUACAUGUUGUAUAUGUAUAUGUCAUCCAUUUUUACUUCCCUUGAUUUUUGCAUAUAUGACACAUGAAUAGAUGAGUAACUUGUAUAGUUCAUAAAAUCUAAAGCCAAAAAAUUAGCACAAGAAGUAGAAGGCAUGAAAAUAUUGCAACUCAGUUUGCACAUAUAAGUGAAGCUCUUAUUCAUUUCAAAAGAUUGACAAUGUUCAUCAUUAAACCAUCCCAACAUUGGUGAAUAAACCUUACUUGCAUCAAAUUUACAUGCUACAACAUGCUUAAAUAAGCAAACAUGCAAUAAGUCAUUCAACACAGAAUCAUCACCAAGAUUAGAGGUCAUAUCAAAAUGAUUAAACAUUGGUUCUUUUGCAUCAAUAGUUAAUUCAAUGGGUGCACUCAAAAUUGUUGGUAUUUCAGUUGUUUGAUCACAUGGCAAAGUCAAAUUAUCAACGUAGUCCUCUAAAAUAGGUGGUGUGAUCAAAGUAGUGCGUAGCUCAUCAGAUGGUGUGAUAGAGGCAAAGGUGUCCCGUCUUUCGAUGAGAUGAUGGAUUUCGCUUUGGUGGAAGUCGACUUUGACGAUCCGACUACGAACGUGCGAGGACGUCGCGCCUUAGCAAUCGCUAAACCAACUCCGAGAGGUUAUUGACCACGCCGGAGCACGAUCAACCUGACCACGAGGGUCUGUUUCCUGCGAGCAAACGAAGAACAAGCAAGAAACUGAGAUUGCAAUCUGGAUAUUGCGAAUAUAAGAUGAAAGCUUUAUUGAUCAAGGUGGGGUUCUGUGACGCCUUUGUCUGGUCGUUGAACACAAACGAAGUACGCGAAGUUGCAGCUAUGGCGAACUUUUAAUCUAAACAAAACCCAAAGUCUAAACGAUGCCCUAAGGGCUGUAUAUAUGGAGGAAGAGGGGGGAAAUUUCGUGGCCCUUGGUGGAGGGGUCCGAAAUCAACCCUAUCUCUUGUUUCCCCACACAUACGGACUCUAAAAAUAGCCUAUACUUAUGUAUUUCGAAAUUACAUGGGCCUGGCCCAAUAAUAAGGUGACGCAGCACCUAAAAUAGCCUCGGAACGAAAUUUAUGAAGUGGCAUCUUGUAUAUUUCGUCCAAGGCUUCAUGCACCCAUUAUGGUGGCUUCAAAGUCCUGAAAUCAUCACUUGUAACUCCGUUCUUGUUCUUGCUCCAAUGUUCAUCCUUCUCCAAGCUAGGCCCUUCAUUUGUAAGCAAAACAAAUGUAUCCAAUUUAGGCAGCAUCAUAUUCUCAUGAACAUUAGAAUCAUUACCAAGAAACGAAAGUACCGGGUAGUUUAGUUGGCGUGCACGAGCUCUAGUAAUUGGUCCAGUAUGUAUAGCAGCAGGGGCUGUGGGUGUAACAAUUGUAUUGAUGUCCUCAUCAUCCUCCCCUUCUUGAAAUGAAGUCGUCCUCGACGGAAGUUCAUCUUCCUCACCCAAAUAAGGCUUCAAAUCUGCAAUGUUAAAAGUGGGACUAACCCCAAAAUCUGCAGGCAGCUCAAGUUUAUAUGCAUUAUCAUUUAUUUUCUCUAACACCUUAAAGGGACCAUCAGCACGUGGCAUUAACUUUGAUUUGCGCAAAUCAGGAAAUCUAUCCUUACGCAAAUGUAACCAAACAAGAUCUCCAGGUGCAAACAUAACAUGUUUUCUACCCUUAUCUCCAGCAAGUUUAUAUUUAGCAUUCAUACGCUCAAUGUUUUCCUUAGUUAACUCAUGCAUUUUUAAAAUCAAUUCAGCACGUUGUUUAGCAUCAAAAUUAACCUUCUCCGAAGAUGGAAGAGGCAACAAAUCAAUAGGUGCACGAGGUAGGAAACCAUACACAACUUCAAAAGGGCACAUCUUAGUAGUAGAAUGCAAUGAACGAUUAUAAGCAAAUUCAAUAUGAGGCAAGCAUUCCUCCCACAUUUUCUUAUUAUUCUUCAAAACAGCCCUAAGCAUAGUAGACAACGUUCUAUUGACUACUUCAGUUUGUCCAUCAGUUUGGGGGUGACAAGUAGUACUAAAAAGCAGUUUAGUCCCCAACUUAGCCCAUAAACAUCUCCAAAAAUGGCUAAGAAAUUUAGUAUCACGAUCUGAAACAAUAGUAUUUGGCACACCAUGCAAGCGAAUAAUUUCACGAAAGAACAAAUCAGCAACAUUAACAGCAUCAUCGCUUUUAUGACAUGGUAUAAAGUGUGCGAUUUUCGAGAAUCUAUCCACGACAACAAAUAUGCUAUCCCUCCCCUUCUUUGUUCGAGGUAAACCUAAAACAAAGUCCAUAGAUAUAUCCUCCCAAGGAACACUAGGUACAGGCAAAGGCAUAUAUAAACCAUGAGGAUUGAGUCGUGACUUAGCUUUUUGACAUGUAGUGCAUCGAGCAAUAAAACGCUCAACAUCCCGUCUCAUCUUUGGCCAAAAGAAAUGUGUAGCAAGUACGUCCUCCGUCUUCUUCACGCCAAAAUGUCCCAUUAAUCCUCCUCCAUGCGCUUCCUGCAACAACAAAAGACGAACGGAGCUAGCUGGAAUGCAUAGCUUGUUAGCACGAAACACAAAUCCAUCGUUAACGACAAACUUGUUCCACAUUCUUCCUUCUUUACAAUUCUGCAUUACAUCUUUAAAAUCAGCAUCAUGCACAUAUUGAUCUUUGAUGGUCUCCAAACCAAAUAUUUUGAAGUCAAGUUGUGAAAGCAUAGUAUAGCGACGAGACAAUGCAUCAGCAAUAACAUUUUCUUUUCCCUUCUUGUGUUUAAUGACAUAAGGGAAAGUCUCAAUGAAUUCAACCCAUUUAGCAUGUCUACGAUUCAGUUUAGCUUGACUUUUAAUAUGUUUCAAAGAUUCAUGAUCAGAAUGUAUAACAAAUUCUUUGGGCCAUAAACAAGUCCGAACAAGAGCAUAUAAUUCUUUAUCAUAAGUAGAAUAAUUCAGACUAGGCCCACUCAAUUUUUUAGAAAAGUAUGCAACAGUUUUACCAUCUUGUAAUAACACACCUCCUAAUCCAAUUCCACUAGCAUCACAUUCAAGCUCAAAAGUCUUAUUAAAAUCAGGAAGUUGGAGUAAAGGAGCAUGUGUCAACUUAUCUUUCAAUACCGUGAAGGCUUCUUCCUGUGCGGUACCCCAAAGAAAAGGCACAUCCUUCUUUGUAAGUUCGUUGAGAGGUGCAACAAUGGUGCUGAAAUCUCUCACAAAACGCCUAUAGAAUCCAGCGAGGCCAAGAAAACUCCUCACUUGUGUGACCGUUUUGGGUUGUGGCCAACUCUCAAUAGCAAGGAAACACGAAUCGGAAUCUACUUUCGUUUCUUGGUAAUGAUUCUAAUGUUCAUGAGAAUAUGAUGCUGCCUAAAUUGGAUACAUUUGUUUUGCUUACAAAUGAAGGGCCUAGCUUGGAGAAGGAUGAACAUUGGAGCAAGAACAAGCAUGGAGAUGAUGGCAUGCGCAAGGGGAACAAGAACGGAGUUACAAGUGAUGAUUUCAGGACUUUGAAGCCACCAUAAUGGGUGCAUGAAGCCUUGGACGAAAUAUACAAGAUGCCACUUCAUAAAUUUCGUCCCGAGGCUAUUUUAGGUGCUGCGUCACCUUAUUAUUGGGCCAGGCCCAUGUAAUUUCGAAAUACAUAACUAUAGGCUAUUUUUAGAGUCCGUAUGUGUGGGGAAACAAGAGAUAGGGUUGAUUUCGGACCCCUCCACCAAGGGCCACGAAAUUCCCCCCUCUUCCUCCAUAUAUACAGCCCUUAGGGCAUCGUUUAGACUUUGGGUUUUGUUUAGAUUAAAAGUUCGCCAUAGCUGCAACUUCGCGUACUUCGUUUGUGUUCAACGACCAGACAAAGGCGUCACAGAACCCCACCUUGAUCAAUAAAGCUUUCAUCUUAUAUUCGCAAUAUCCAGAUUGCAAUCUUAGUUUCUUGCUUGUUCUUCGUUUGCUCGCAGGAAACAGACCCUCGUGGUCAGGUUGAUCGUGCUCCGGCGUGGUCAAUAACCUCUCGGAGUUGGUUUAGCGAUUGCUAAGGCGCGACGUCCUCGCACGUUCGUAGUCGGAUCGUCAAAGUCGACUUCCACCAAAGCGAAAUCCACCAUCUCAUCGAAAGACGGGACACCUCCGCCUCUAUCAAUCUUACUUGGGAGUUAGAAACUGAACAACGAUUUACAUGUUUACAAUAUCCUGAGGAGAGACGAGUUGCUGCUGCCGUUUGUGCUUUCACUAGUUUUGCAUGUGUAUGGUGGUCUGAACAUUGUAGAUUAUAUCCUAUUCCAACUACUUGGGCUGCUUUGAAAACUGCUAUGCGUACGCGUUGGGUUCCACCAUAUUAUCAACGUGAAUUGCUUCAAAAAUUGCAGCGUUUAAGACAAGGGAAAAAUUCUGUAGAAGAAUAUUAUCAGGAAUUACAAACUGGCAUGAUUAGAUGUGGUAUUGUUGAGGAGAAUGAAGCUAUGCUUGCACGUUUUCUGGGUGGAUUAAAUAGAGAGAUUCAGACCAUUCUAGACUAUAAGGAGUAUACUAAUAUCACUCGUUUAUUUCAUCUUGCUUGUAAAGCUGAACGUGAAGUGCAGGAUCGACAAGCAUUGGGGCGAACUAACUUUUCUGCAGGCCGACCUUCAUCAUGGACACCACGUGCAUCUUCUACUUCAACUGCACCAGCACCUCCAUCCGGUGCCACCUCCAGCCGUGAUACAAGAAAACAGGCACAACCACCAUUAUCUGCCAAGAGCACACCUGCGGGGCCUGCACAGCGUUCUUCUUCUUCCAUGGCAUCAACAGGGCACACAAGUGAUAUUAUUUGUCGCCGUUGUAAGGGAGGAGGUCAUUAUGCGAGGGAAUGCAAAUCUCCGCGUGUGAUGAUUGCUACUGCGGAUGGUGGAUAUGAGUCCGCUAGUGACUAUGAUGAGGAGACAUUGGCUCUUAUUACACGUGAAGAACAUGGUGGAGAUGAUUCUGAUCAUGAGACGCAAUACAUGGCUCCUGAAGACGCUGACAGGUAUGAAUGUUUAGUUGCUCAACGUGUUUUGAGUGUGCAGGUCACACAAGCUGAGCAAAAUCAGAGGCACAAUUUGUUCCAUACCAAGGGAGUUGUGAAGGAACGUUCUGUGCGCGUCAUAAUAGACGGAGGGAGCUGCAACAACUUGGCUAGCAUGGAGAUGGUGGAGAAGCUUUCUCUCACCACACGACCACAUCCACAUCCUUACUACAUCCAAUGGUUCAACAACAGCGGCAAGGUUAAGGUAACACGUACUGUUCGUGUGCAUUUUAGUAUCUCUACAUAUGCUGAUUAUGUUGAUUGUGAUGUGGUACCUAUGCAAGCAUGUUCCUUAUUACUUGGUAGACCUUGGCAAUUUGAUAAAAAUUCUGUACACCAUGGUAGAAACAAUCACUAUACUCUUGUUCAUAAGGAUAAAAAUAUUACUUUGCUUCCUAUGACUCCUGAUUCCAUUUUGAAAGAUGAUAUUAAUAGAGCUAAUAAAGCAAAACAUGAGACGAAUAAGAGUGAAAAUCAGAUUGUGGCAAAAGAAUUUGAGCAACAAAUGAAGCCUAAUAAUAAACCAUCUAGUGUUGCUUCUGAAAUUAAAUUGAAAAGUGCAUGUUUAUUUGCCACCAAAUCUGAUAUUGAUGAGCUAGAUUUCAGCAAAUCUGUUUGCUAUGCUUUUGUGUGCAAAGAGGCAUUAUUUUCAUUCGAGGACGUGCCUUCCUCUUUGCCUCCUGCUGUCACUAACAUUUUGCAGGAGUUCGCUGACGUCUUUCCACAAGACGUGCCACCGGGAUUACCGCCUAUUCGAGGGAUUGAGCAUCAAAUUGACUUAAUUCCCGGUGCUUCACUGCCAAACCGUGCACCAUACCGUACCAAUCCAGAGGAGACGAAGGAGAUUAUGCGUCAAGUACUACUUGAUAGAGACGAGGGUCCCGAUCUUUCGAUGAGAUGAUAACUAUCGAUUUGAUGGAGACGACUUUCACGAUCCGACUACAAAUGUGCACGACGUUGCACCUUAGCAAUCGCUAAACCGAUCUCCUGAGGUUACUGACGAUGCUGGAAGCACGGUCAGCCUGACCACGAAGGUCUAUUCCUGCAAGCAAUCGAAGAACGAGCAAGAAUAUGAUAAAGCAAUCUGAAUAUUGCAAAUAUAUAUGAAGUAUUGAUAAUGGUGGGGAUCCGGAAGCGGUCUUGGUCUGGUCGUUGGACACAAACGAAGUACACGAAGUUGCAAUGGCUAACUUUUAACUAAACAAAUCCCAAAGUCUAAACGAUGCCCUAAGGGCUGUAUAUAUGGAGGAAGAGGGGGGGAAUUUCGUGGCCCUUGGUGGAGGAGUCCGAAAUCAACCCUAUCUCUUGUUUCCCCACACAUACGGACUCUAAAAAUAGCCUAUACUUAUGUAUUUCGAAAUUACAUGGGCCUGGCCCAAUAAUAAGGUGACGCAGCACCUAAAAUAGCCUCGGGACGAAAUUUAUGAAGUGGCAUCUUGUAUAUUUCGUCCAAGGCUUCAUGCACCCAUUAUGGUGGCUUCAAAGUCCUGAAAUCAUCACUUGUAACUCCGUUCUUGUUCCCCUUGCGCAUGCCAUCAUCUCCAUGCUUGUUCUUGCUCCAAUGUUCAUCCUUCUCCAAGCUAGGCCCUUCAUUUGUAAACAAAACAAAUGUAUCCAAUUUAGGCAGCAUCAUAUUCUCAUGAACAUUAGAAUCAUUACCAAGAAACGAAAGUACCUGGUAAUUUAGUUGGCGUGCACGAGCUCUAGUAAUUGGUCCAGUAUGUAUAGUAGCAGGGGCUGUGGGUGUAACAAUUGUAUUGAUGUCCUCAUCAGUACCACAUCACAAUCAACAUAAUCAGCAUAUGUAGAGAUACUAAAAUGCACACGAACAGUACGUGUUACCUUAACCUUGCCGCUGUUGUUGAACCAUUGGAUGUAGUAAGGAUGUGGAUGUGGUCUUGUGGUGAGAGAAAGCUUCUCCACCAUCUCCAUGCUAGCCAAGUUGUUGCAGCUCCCUCCGUCUAUUAUGACGCGCACAGAACGUUCCUUCACAACUCCCUUGGUAUGGAACAAAUUGUGCCUCUGAUUUUGCUCAGCUUGUGUGACCUGCACACUCAAAACACGUUGAGCAACUAAACAUUCAUACAUGUCAGCGUCUUCAGGAGCCAUGUAUUGCGUCUCAUGAUCAGAAUCAUCUCCACCAUGUUCUUCACGUGUAAUAAGAGCCAAUGUCUCCUCAUCAUAGUCACUAGCGGACUCAUAUCCACCAUCUGCAGUAGCAAUCAUCACACGCGGAGAUUUGCAUUCCCUCGCAUAAUGACCUCCUCCCUUACAACGACGACAAAUAAUAUCACUUGUGUGCCCUGUUGAUGCCAUGGAAGAAGAAGAACGCUGUGCAGGCCCCGCAGGUGUGCUCUUGGUAGAUAAUGGUGGUUGUGCCUGUUUUCUUGUAUCACGGCUGGAGGUGGCACCGGAUGGAGGUGCUGGUGCAGUUGAAGUAGAAGAUGCACGUGGUGUCCAUGAUGAAGGUCGGCCUGCAGAAAAGUUAGUUCGCCCUAAUGCUUGUCGAUCCUGCACUUCACGUUCAGCUUUACAAGCAAGAUGGAAUAAACGAGUGAUAUUAGUAUACUCCUUAUAGUCUAGAAUGGUCUGAAUCUCUCUAUUUAAUCCACCCAGAAAACGUGCAAGCAUAGCUUCAUUCUCCUCAACAAUACCACAUCUAAUCAUGCCAGUUUGUAAUUCCUGAUAAUAUUCUUCUACAGAAUUUUUUCCUUGUCUUAAACGCUGCAAUUUUUGAAGCAAUUCACGUUGAUAAUAUGGUGGAACCCAACGCGUACGCAUAGCAGUUUCCAAAGCAGCCCAAGUAGUUGGAAUAGGAUAUAAUCUACAAUGUUCAGACCACCAUACACAUGCAAAACUAGUGAAAGCACAAACAGCAGCAACAACUCGUCUCUCCUCAGGAUAUUGUAAACAUGUAAAUCGUUGUUCAGUUUCUAACUCCCAAGUAAGAUAUAUAUCAGGAACAUAUCUACCCUCAAAUGGUGGAAUAUUCAAUUUCAGUUUAGGAAUAUGGACAUCAUCUCGUACCUGAGGUGGUGGUGGUGCAGGCCUACCAUUACGAAUAUAUACCUGAGGUCGACCUGCUGGUGGUGGUGCUGGUGGCUGCUCGUAGAUCUGAUUUUGAUCAACCUCAUCCUCAUAAUCGCCCGCAUACUCAUCAUCCUCCUGGGUACCAGCAACAGCAGUAGCAGGAGCCACAGAAGUAUCAACAGCAGCACCAACAGUUUGGCCAAAUGCAAGAGGAACACGGCUCGCUCGGCGAAGGUCUGCUUCGCGACGUGGAGGUAGUCGUUGUUGUUGUUGUUGGAGAGGUGCGUUAGGUGCAGCGGGUGGUGGUGGUGGAAGACGCGCGAGCAAUUCAUUAAAUCUGUUAUCGAGCUUUGUUUCGAACGUCUUCUCAAGGCCAGUGAUCUUCUCCAUGGCCUCUUCAAAAUUGUUCAGCACAUCUUGCACCUGUUCAGUCAUCAUUUGCUGAAACUUAUCAUGAAGCUCCUUGUUCGAUAAAUUCUCCCAGUCAAUCUCGUCGGCUUGUGAUCCUGGCAUGGUUAGCAGCAAUAGAAACACACAAGAAUAUGAUCCUACAGACUAUGAACAAGUGGUGGUGGUGGGUGUCACAAAUCCGUCAAGCAAAACUCAAAUUCUUACCAGUUCUUACCCAGCAGCAGGCGGUGAUCGGCAACCGUUGUAGUCAAAAACUCUCAAAGCUUGGAUAGAGCGAUUACCAGGGAGAGUCAAACACACGACGUAGAUGUAUGUGGAGCUGGGAAGUGAUGAGGACAUCAAUACAAUUGUUACACCCACAGCCCCUGCUGCUAGACAUACUGGACCAAUUACUAGAGCUCGUGCACGCCAACUAAAUUACCAGGUACUUUCGUUUCUUGGUAAUGAUUCUAAUGUUCAUGAGAAUAUGAUGCUGCCUAAAUUGGAUACAUUUGUUUUGCUUACAAAUGAAGGGUCUAGCUUGGAGAAGGAUGAACAUUGGAGCAAGAACAAGCAUGGAGAUGAUGGCAUGCACAAGGGGAACAAGAACGGAGUUACAAGUGAUGAUUUCAGGACUUUGAAGCCACCAUAAUGGGUGCAUGAAGCCUUGGACGAAAUAUACAAGAUGCCACUUCAUAAAUUUCGUCCCGAGGCUAUUUUAGGUGCUGCGUCACCUUAUUAUUGGGCCAGGCCCAUGUAAUUUCGAAAUACAUAAGUAUGGGCUAUUUUUAGAGUCCGUAUGUGUGGGGAAACAAGAGAUAGGGUUGAUUUCGGACCCCUCCACCAAGGGCCACGAAAUUCCCCCCUCUUCCUCCAUAUAUACAGCCCUUAGGGCAUCGUUUAGACUUUGGGUUUUGUUUAGAUUAAAAGUUCGCCAUAGCUGCAACUUCGCGUACUUCGUUUGUGUUCAACGACCAGACAAAGGCGUCACAGAACCCCACCUUGAUCAAUAAAGCUUUCAUCUUAUAUUCGCAAUAUCCAGAUUGCAAUCUUAGUUUCUUGCUUGUUCUUCGUUUGCUCGCAGGAAACAGACCCUCGUGGUCAGGUUGAUCGUGCUCCGGCGUGGUCAAUAACCUCUCGGAGUUGGUUUAGCGAUUGCUAAGGCGCGACGUCCUCGCACGUUCGUAGUCGGAUCGUCAAAGUCGACUUCCACCAAAGCGAAAUCCACCAUCUCAUCGAAAGACGGGACACCUCCGCCUCUAUCAUGUGCCCUGUUGAUGCUAUGGAAGAAGAAGAACGCUGUGUAGGCCCCGCAGGUGCGCUCUUGGCAGAUAAUGGUGGUUGUGCCUGUUUUCUUGUAUCACGGCUGGAGGUGGCACCUGAUGGAAGUGCUGGUGCAGUUGAAGUAGAAGAUGCACGUGGUGUCCAUGAUGAAGGUCGGCCUGCAGAAAAGUUAGUUCGCCCCAAUGCUUGUCGAUCCUGCACUUCACGUUCAGCUUUACAAGCAAGAUGGAAUAAACGAGUGAUAUUAGUAUACUCCUUAUAGUCUAGAAUGGUCUGAAUCUCUCUAUUUAAUCCACCCAGAAAACGUGCAAGCAUAGCUUCAUUCUCCUCAACAAUACCACAUCUAAUCAUGCCAGUUUGUAAUUCCUGAUAAUAUUCUUCUACAGAAUUUUUUCCUUGUCUUAAACGCUGCAAUUUUUGAAGCAAUUCACAUUGAUAAUAUGGUGGAACCCAACGCGUACGCAUAGCAGUUUUCAAAGCAGCCCAAGUAGUUGGAAUAGGAUAUAAUCUACAAUGUUCAGACCACCAUACACAUGCAAAACUAGUGAAAGCACAAACGGCAGCAGCAACUCGUCUCUCCUCAGGAUAUUGUAAACAUGUAAAUCGUUGUUCAGUUUCUAACUCCCAAGUAAGAUAUAUAUCAGGAACAUAUCUACCCUCAAAUGGUGGAAUAUUCAAUUUCAGUUUAGGAAUAUGGACAUCAUCUCGUACCUGAGGUGGUGGUGCAGGCCUACCAUUACGAAUAUAUACCUGAGGUCGACCUGCUGGUGGUGGUACAGGUGGCUGCACGUAGUGUUGAUUUUGAUCAACCUCAUCCUCAUAAUCUCCCACAUAAUCAUCCUCCUCCGCAUCAGCAGCAGGAGCCACAGAAGUAUCAACAGCAGCACCAACAGUUUGGCCAAACGCGAGAGGAACACGGCUUGCUCGGCGGAGGUCUGCUUCGCGACGUGGAGGUAGUCGUUGUUGUUGUUGUUGGAGAGGUGCGUUAGGUGCAGCGGGUGGUGGUGGUGGAAGACGCGCGAGCAAUUCAUUAAAGUUGUUAUCGAGCUUUGUUUCGAACGUCUUCUCAAGGCCAGUGAUCUUCUCCAUGGCCUCUUCAAAAUUGUUCAGCACAUCUUGCACCUGUUCAGUCAUCAUUUGCUGAAACUUAUCAUGAAGCUCCUUGUUCGAUAAAUUCUCCCAGUCAAUCUCGUCGGCUUGUGAUCCUGGCAUGGUUAGCAGCAAUAGAAACACACAAGAAUAUGAUCCUACAGACUACGAACAAGUGGUGGUGGUGGGUGUCACAAAUCCGUCAAGCAAAUCUCAAAUUCUUACCAGUUCUUACCCAGCAGCAGGCGGUGAUCGGCAACCGUUGUAGUCAAAAACUCUCAAAGCUUGGAUAGAGCGAUUACCAGGGAGAGUCAAACGCACGACGUAGAUGUAUGUGGAGCUGGGAAGGCUUAUAAUAUGGUAGCAAAAAGGGUCAGCAAUAAUGAUAGAGGCAAAGGUGUCCCGUCUUUCGAUGAGAUGAUGGAUUUCGCUUUGGUGGAAGUCGACUUUGACGAUCCGACUACGAACGUGCGAGGACGUCGCGCCUUAGCAAUCGCUAAACCAACUCCGAGAGGUUAUUGACCACGCCGGAGCACGAUCAACCUGACCACGAGGGUCUGUUUCCUGCGAGCAAACGAAGAACAAGCAAGAAACUGAGAUUGCAAUCUGGAUAUUGCGAAUAUAAGAUGAAAGCUUUAUUGAUCAAGGUGGGGUUCUGUGACGCCUUUGUCUGGUCGUUGAACACAAACGAAGUACGCGAAGUUGCAGCUAUGGCGAACUUUUAAUCUAAACAAAACCCAAAGUCUAAACGAUGCCCUAAGGGCUGUAUAUAUGGAGGAAGAGGGGGGAAAUUUCGUGGCCCUUGGUGGAGGGGUCCGAAAUCAACCCUAUCUCUUGUUUCCCCACACAUACGGACUCUAAAAAUAGCCUAUACUUAUGUAUUUCGAAAUUACAUGGGCCUGGCCCAAUAAUAAGGUGACGCAGCACCUAAAAUAGCCUCGGAACGAAAUUUAUGAAGUGGCAUCUUGUAUAUUUCGUCCAAGGCUUCAUGCACCCAUUAUGGUGGCUUCAAAGUCCUGAAAUCAUCACUUGUAACUCCGUUCUUGUUCUUGCUCCAAUGUUCAUCCUUCUCCAAGCUAGGCCCUUCAUUUGUAAGCAAAACAAAUGUAUCCAAUUUAGGCAGCAUCAUAUUCUCAUGAACAUUAGAAUCAUUACCAAGAAACGAAAGUACCUGGUAGUUUAGUUGGCGUGCACGAGCUCUAGUAAUUGGUCCAGUAUGUAUAGCAGCAGGGGCUGUGGGUGUAACAAUUGUAUUGAUGUCCUCAUCAUGGUGCAUUCAAAUUGACAAGGCAUUCAUCAUUCUCAUGUAGAGAUGGAAGAUCAGUACCUUUGUCAUUACCUCUUAUGAUCAACUUAGAUGAUGUAGCCACUCUCGGGGGCGAUGUGUCACAUGGUGGAGGUGAUGUAGUCCUGACAACAACGGAUGUGGUUGUCAUAGUAUGCCUAGUAGUUGAAGGAACAAUCAUAUCAACUCUUGGAAUGUGCACUGUGCGCUUGUUCUCCUCGUGGCCAACACGUCGUUUUAUUUCCUGUUCAGCUUUGCAAGCAAGAUGAAACAAAUGGUCCAUAGGAUAACACUCUUCAUGAAUUAGUAUCUCUUGAAUAUCACGGUUUAAUCCUCCCCAAAAUCUAUCCAUAAAAUCAUCUUCACUUUCUUCUAAAGAGGAAUGCAACAAGGUAGUUUGUAGAUCAUCAUAAUAUUUUGUUACAGUUUCACUACCUUGUUUUAAGUGUUGCAACUUCUUAAUCAUGUCACGAGUAUAAUAAGCAGGGACGAAAGUAUGUCGCAUGGCAAGUUUCAAAUCAUCCCAAGUAGUAGGUAUAUAAUCAGGGUGUAACCGACAAUAUUCACUCCACCAAACCAAAGCAUAACCAGUGAAAGAACCAACCGCAACCUUAACCUUUUUAUGUUCAUCGAAAUUAUGGGAAGCAAAUAUAUUUUUUAUGUCGAACUCCCAUUCUAUAUAUAAAGCAGGUUUAAAACGACCAUUAAAUGGUGGUGUAGAUACAUUAACCUGAUCAUGUGCAUUUGGAUGUUUGUGCACCUCUCGUGACGGUUGUGGUAUUUGCAAAGGUGGUGGCACGUCUCCCGCGAUCGACAAAGCCCAUGAAUUGACUCUGGAUCCUGUCAUGAUUAGUAGAACAAGAAACAAAACCCAAAAAUAUGUUCCUAUAACUACUAGGAUGUGGUGGUAAAACGCUCACAGUAAAGCAAAUAUCAAUGUCUUACAAGUUCUUACCAUGCAGCAGGCGGUGAUCGGCAACCAGCGGUGUCAAGUAACUCCGAAUAUUGAGUAAAGCGAUUGCCAGGGGAGCGUACGUAUACACGGUGUAGAAAUAUGUGGAGCUGGGUUGGCUAUAUAUGGUAGCAAAAGAUUAGCAAUAAUCAAUUCAAAGAUGCAAUGUUGAAUAAACGUUCAACGACGGUACUCUGCUGGUCCUAGGCUAGACCGUACUAGAGACGCGAGCCUAGAACACUAAUGAGGUCACGACGUAGCACAACUAGCAUCAAUGAAGGAUACUAAGUAGCUCUUGACAGUAAGAUAUAAGUGAAGAUCACAACGGCAGUGAAGAUAAUUAUGAAAAACAACUGCCAAGGAGGAUAUACAACAACUCUCUCUCCAACUUUCCUCUUGAAAAGUUUGAGACAAUUUUUUGAUAAAUUCUUUCAAGGAAUGCUACUAACUCAAGCUUUCCAAUGCAAAAAGAAUCACUCAAUUCCGAGUUGAUAUGAGGAGUCAAAGAAUUCUAAAACUAGCCUGAAAAAUUGGAACAAGUUGUGUUCACAAACUUCGGAGGGCAAAAAGACCUAAUUAGAAGCCGAUUUUGAGGUGUCAAAUAUUGAACUAGCUUCUGCAACUAUCUAGAUGCGGCUCGUCGCUAUCUUCAAUUUGAGUACUCAAGGAGCCAAAACUGACUUCGUAUGAGGAAGAUACACCUGUUUUACUGAACAGUGCGCAAAACAGAUUCCAAUCCGAAUUCAGGUACGAGAUUGAUUCUAGAUAGAUCCAAUUUUUUUUCUCUCCUUUUUUUUCUCACGCUUUUAUUUCUUUUUCUUCUCUCUCUUUUUCUUUUUUUUCUUUCCUUUUUUCUCUUUUUUUUCUCUCUCUUUUUUUUUCUCCCUCUUUCCAAGACAAACUAGAUAAGAUGCGGAUUGGAUCAGGCGAAGAUGUGAAUGACCUCAACUAUGAUUAUGACAAUGAACAGUGCGUAGCACAUGGUGGAAAUUAAUAGAUGGGAUGGUGGACGGCGGAAGGGAUAAUGAUGCAGCGGCGGCGUGACUAAUGUGAACAGAACUCGAAACUCUAAAAGAACUAGACACUAAGACCAGCAACUGACACGACGAUGCAACCGAUAAUUCAACUAUGCAAGCAACGAAUAGAAAAUUGCAAAGGCUCAGACUGGCUUGGAUAAAGGAUGAACAGAUCUAACUUUUUUUUUGUGGCUUUUUCUUGGACAAUAGGUAAGAAAAAAAUUUAAUCUAGGAAAAACUGGAAAUUCUCACCGAGCAACCUGAAAACUGAUACCACUUGAUAAAGGCGAGGGUGUCCCGAUCUUUCGAUGAGAUGAUAACUAUUGAUUUGGUGGAGACGACUUUGACGAUCCGACUACAAACGUGCACGACGUUGCGCCUUAGCAAUCGCUAAACCAACUCCGAGAGGUUAUUGACCACGCUGGAGCACGAUCAACCUGACCACGAAGGUCUAUUCCUGCAAGCAAUCGAAGAACAAGCAAGAAUAUGAUAAAGCAAUCUGAAUAUUGCGAAUAUAUAUGAAUUAUUGAUAAUGGUGGGGAUCCGUAAGCGGUCUUGGUCUGGUCGUUGGACACAAACGAAGUACACGAAGUUGCAAUGGCUAACUUUUAACUAAACAAAUCCCAAGGAAAAGCUACUAGAUGGAUCUACUUAUAUAGGAGCAAGGGGUGGCGGCCAAGGAGGUGGGAGGACGUCCCAAGGCAGCCUAAAACUAAAUCUAGGUCAUACAAGGCCAAUGGGCCCAAGUGGAGGUGAUGUAACACCUUUGGACUUGUAGUUUAACUCGGAUUCUGCUGCAGCAUCAGAUUGUUUCGUCCACAACUCAACGCUCCGGACGAAUUUGAAGGUGAUUCCAAUUGGGUUGGAAAGUGCACGAAAUCUAGUUUCCAACAAAAAAAGCAUCACCCAAUUUGGAGUCCGUAUGAAAAACUUGUGUGCAUUUUGAGUCAGGUGUGUCUGUGCAGUCCGAAUCUGAAUCCAAAACGUGAGAGACUUGGACUCUAUCUUCUCUUGGGCCAAAAGUGACGUGAGAGAACUUUUUGGACAGCAGAUAAACAUCUCUUUCUUCCUUAUCUUCAUAUGUGGAUUGUGCAAAUGUCCCAUACACCUGCAAUUAGACAAAACACAAAAGUGUGUGAAGUAUUUUUGUUCUGGAUAACAUAAAUAGAUUAUUGAAUAGUUUGCACUAGAAAUCACCUGACAAAUAUGCAUAUAUGCAAUAUUUUUGGUCAUAUCCAAGGUAGUCAUGUCCUCAUCAGAAGGUCUGUUUCGCGAUGUGGAGGUAGUCGUUGUUGUUGUUGUUGGAGAGGUGCGUUAGAUGCAGCGGGUGGUGGUGGUGGAAGACGCGUGAGCAAGUCAUUAAACUUGUUAUCGAGCUUUGUUUCGAACGUCUUCUCAAGGCCAGUGAUCUUCUCCAUGGCCUCUUCAAAAUUGUUCAGCACAUCUUGCACCUGUUCAGUCAUCAUUUGCUGAAACUUAUCAUGAAGCUCCUUGUUUGAUAAAUUCUCCCAGUCAAUCUCGUCGGCUUGUGAUCCUGGCAUGGUUAGCAGCAAUAGAAACACACAAGAAUAUGAUCCUACAGACUACGAACAAGUGGUGGUGGUGGGUGUCACAAACCCGUCAAGCAAAACUCAAAUUCUUACCAGUUCUUACCCAGCAACAGGCGAUGAUCGGCAACCGUUGUAGUCAAAACUCUCAAAGCUUGGAUAGAGUGAUUACCAGGGAGAGUCAAAGGCACGACGUAGAUGUAUGUGGAGCUGGGAAGGCUUAUAAUUUGGUAGCAAAAAGGGUCAGCAAUAAUCAAUUCAGAGAUGCAAAGUUGAAUAAACGCUCAACGACGGUACUGUGCUGGUCCUAGGCUAGACUGUGCUAGAGACGCGAGCCUAGAGCACCAACAAAAUCACGGCGCGGCACGUAAACAAGGGAGGAGCACACUCUGAAUUUUUUUCUCUUUUUUUUUGCACUUUUUUUCCUCUUUUUUUUUUGCUCCGCAACAAAUUUUUUUCGAAAAAGUCUACAAAUGGUCUAAAAACUGCCUAGCCAGAAUUUUCCAGACUUAGUUUUUUUUUUGAAAUUGGAACUAUUUUUCUUCUGCGGAUGGCUCGGAAGUUGGCGAGUCCUUCUCUGUCACGACUCGGAGUAUCGCGUGAUCUGGAAAUCGAGAACAAUGCAACAAUUACUGGACUCGGACUAGGACUGGUGGCGGAGAUGAAUCUGGUGGAACUCGGACUGGUGGCGAAGAUGAAUCUGGUGGAACACGGACAGGUGGCGGAUAUAUGUUGCAGGUGAACUCGGAUUGGCGUGAUGGCGGCGGAUAUGUGGUGGCGUAUAUGGAUUCGGAUUGACGGUGAAUAUGUGGUGGUGGUAUAUGGCAACAGCGACGAUGAUGAUGCGGUGGUGAUAUAUGGCAGCGGCGACGUGACAACCUGUGAACAGAACUCGAAACUCUAAAAGACUAGACGCUAAGACCAGCAACUGGACAUGACGAUGCAACCGCAAAUUCAACAAAGCAAAUACAGAAAAGAUUAUGCAAGGCUCAGAUUGGUUCGGAUGGGAUGAACUAACCCUAAUUUUUUUUGGCUUUUUCGUGGACUAUAGGUAUGAAGAACAGACUCGAUCUAAACUACGAAAAACUGUAAAAUCUCACCGAGCAACCUGGAAAUCUGAUACCACUUGAUAGAGGCAAAGGUGUCCCGUCUUUCGAUGAGAUGAUGGAUAUCGCUUUGGUGGAAGUCGACUUUGAUGAUCCGACUACGAGCGUGCGAGGACGUCGCGCCUUAGCAAUCGCUAAACCAACUCCGAGAGGUUAUUGACCACGCCGGAGCACGAUCAACCUGACCACGAGGGUCUAUUUCCUGCGAGCAAACGAAGAACAAGCAAGAAACUAAGAUUGCAAUCUGGAUAUUGCGAAUAUAAGAUGAAAGCUUUA